rnacentral:rRNA from 1 species
CGGUAGCACAGAGAGCUUGCUCUCGGGUGACGAGUGGCGGACGGGUGAGUAAUGUCUGGGAAACUGCCUGAUGGAGGGGGAUAACUACUGGAAACGGUAGCUAAUACCGCAUAACGUCGCAAGACCAAAGAGGGGGACCUUCGGGCCUCUUGCCAUCAGAUGUGCCCAGAUGGGAUUAGCUGGUAGGUGGGGUAACGGCUCACCUAGGCGACGAUCCCUAGCUGGUCUGAGAGGAUGACCAGCCACACUGGAACUGAGACACGGUCCAGACUCCUACGGGAGGCAGCAGUGGGGAAUAUUGCACAAUGGGCGCAAGCCUGAUGCAGCCAUGCCGCGUGUAUGAAGAAGGCCUUCGGGUUGUAAAGUACUUUCAGCGGGGAGGAAGGUGAUGAGGUUAAUAACCU